CCCAGGGAUAAGGGCCACCCUAGCCUGUUCCUCUGAGCCUGUCCUAGAGACGUCUCCAUGUGGGAGAGUGCUCUUCUUUGGGAUUCUAAAAGGACUGCUCUCCAGAUGACAUUCCACCCACAGAGAUUUGGCUGAUGGUUGAUCCAGAUGCUAACACCUCACCCCCCAUUUAUUUUGAGAAGGCUGCCACCCUGAAGCGCAAGGCUGGUCUACGGGUAAACGAUGUGUCCCACAGACACUCCCUUAACAGGGCCUGGGAAUCCCCAGCCUCUCUCUAGGCAUGUGUUUCUAGAAAGCUACUCUGAACUUCGUACCAGUGCCCUUUACGCACUGGAUGGUCUCUUCGUGUGAUCUACACUCUCCCUUUUGCGUCUUUCCUCUGCUCUGACCUUAUCUCCUCUCCUUUGCUGGAUGCAGAGAAGAUUAAUAUGGUCAUGGUUCUAAUUAUUAGCUUGCAUCUUAUGGAUCUCAUACAUAGAGGUCAUUCCAGGCCAGUGCCAAAGAACUUCAACCCCUGGCCACUCCAUUCAUCAGCACCCUGUAUUUAUUCAACAAUAUAGGGCAAGAGCAAGGACUGCCUCUUUUAUGUUGCCUAAAGUCUCAGGGAAGAUUCCUUUUAGGAAGAAAGUAGGUUAUUGUUUAAAGCAAGGGCUAAGUUCUAAAGUUUAAAAAAAAAAAAAUUGUGUUUUACCACGUGGCAACACCAGAAGUGUUGGGAGAGAGGGGUCUGCCUGUUGGUUAGCUCCAAAGCUACACUGUUGAAAAACACUGGCUGUGGAUGGGCUGCCUCUAAAGAUGCUAAAUCAGGCGGUACUGGGAGAUAUUCAGAACAGCUCCCAGGUAUGCCAAGGAAGGGCCAGUUCACAGUGCCUGUGUUAUAUGGUCAGCUCCUUACACCAGGGGAAUGUUCUCAGCAUAGCCUGAGAACAUUCUGUAUACAACCAAUCUAUGCCACUGUCAUAUAUGUAUUAAACCUGCUAAAUGUUCCUGCAUUUCAGGAAGUAGCAUUUACAUGUGAAACUAUCCCGUUUGAGUCUGAACACAUUUGUUUCAUUGUCCUUCUUUUGAAUUUCAAUACAGGGAGGUGCCAGGGAAGAGUUAAUGCUGACUAUGCAAGAGCUAAAAACCAGACUAUUGGGAGUUCCCUUGUGGUGCAGAGGAACUGGAUCCAGUGUUGUCACUGCAGCAGCUUGGGCGACUGCUAUGGCUCGGGUUCAAUCCUCAGGGGUACUAGUCAGGUUCUUAAACCACUGAGCCACAAUGAGAACCCCACUAGUGGGUUUAUUUGUUGAUUCAGCAGUUUCACUUAUUCACUCAACAGAAAUGCACACACACACACAAAGUACAAAAUGUGCCUCAGCAUCAGGAGGCUUCUAUGUUGCAUCUGGAGACCUCCUGCUUCUUGCUGGAUGGGACUUGCCCCUGUUUCUCAUCAUUGUCAUGUCCACUAACACUCUUGGACAGGCCCGUGGGUUUGGGGCUAGGUGGAGACAAAAGUCCUCAGAGAGCUGGUCCUAGAGACUCCUCGAACACCAUCAGGAGGCCGAUGGGGCCUACCUGUGAGAUGUGCCAGACACUAAGCUAGAAAACAUGUCAUGACUUUCCAGAAAUAGGUUUCCCCUUGUUCAGUGUCGCUAGUCUCUGUGGCCACCACGUGUAAAUCAAGCUUGCACAGGCUCAUCCUCCGAUGGGGAAGAGAACUUUCCAGUGCUGCUCCUGAGCACAGGUGGGGAACUAGGGAAUUUCUCUGAACUUGGCAAAUCUGGUUUCCAGGUGGGGAAGGAAAAGCGGGAGCAGGUGUCGCCUUGGCCCCACCCCAAAGCUCUCAUCGUCACCCUCCCGUCCGAAUGCUCCCUUUGGGUGUCCCCUUCGUCAGGGCCCUUUGCUUUCCAGGGGCGCAGCCAGAUAAUGCUUUUCCUACCAUGAAGCAUCAACGUGCUUGUUAUUAACAAGAGAGGCGCAUGGCAGUGCCAAGGCAGACAUGUGGGACUGAGAGAGAAGGGCUGAAAAAUACUCCUUUUCCCCAAUGGCCAGGUGGCUGGGGCCUCAGCUUCCUCAUCUGAGAUGAGGAGCUCAUGACUCCUGGAGCUCACAGGAACUUGGGGGCGAUCAGGCCAGCACCAGGCAUCAGACACGUCACAUCCAAGGUGUGACUCAAGGUGAGUUUGUGAGGUCAGCGUGUUGUCAACUGAAGCAGGUUUAUCUCCAGGUUACAGCGAGGAGGGGGGCUGGAUGAUGAUCACCAGACUUGCAAAAGUGACGGCAGAGAAGCGCAUCCUUGUGUCUGGAGGAUGGCCCCAAUCUGUCACCAGAGGCAACACUGGGGACCACAAUGUGGAUCAUGCCAGAAUUUUGGGGUAAGAACUGAACAAGCCGCAACCUGGAGUUUUCUACCAAGAAGGGCAGGUGGUAUUCACGUGAGACACAUGACCAAGCACCUAGAUAAAAACCACUUGCAUCUGGGUUGCUUCUUUCACGGACGCAGGCAAAGAUGGAAUGGGAGUACUAACCUGAAACACUGUUUUUUUUUAAUUAAUUAAUUAAUUUAUUUAUUUAUUUUAUUUGUGGGGUCAUACAUAUGGCAUAUGGAAGUUCCCAGGCUGUGGGUUGAAUCGGAGCUAUAGCUGCCUGCCUACACCACAGCCAUAGCAAUACUAGAUCUGAGCCACAUCUGUGAGCUACACUGCAGCUCAUGGCAAUGCCUGAUCCUUAAACCACUGGGGAGGGCCAGAGAUCAAAACGGCAUUCUCAUGGAUACUAGUCAUGUUAGUUACUGCUGAGCCGCAAGGGGAAAUCCAGAAACACUGUUUUAAAAGAAGUAAUUUCCAUCCCUACAGAGAAUCACAGUCAAAGAGUUUUUUUGGUUUUUUUUUUUUUUUUUUUUUUUAAUGGCAUGUGGACGUUCCUGAGCCAGUCAUCGAACCCGUGCCACAGCAGUGACAAUGCUGGGUCCUUUGACCACUAGCCACCAGGGAACUCCCAAGAGGAGAUCUUCGUAAGCUCAAGAUGCCAUUUGUUGAUAUUCCUGGGCAUUAGCCUCAGAAAGGUGCUGAUUUGACUAUAAAAAUAAAGUAAUAUCUUUUGGUUCAGCAACAGGGCUGAGAGAGUCCCAAAACAAUGAUCAGCAACAUAAGCAAAACAUUGUCUGCGUUGCAGUCUUCAAAGAUGAUCACCAGGGCAGAUGGCACUGCAUUCGCCUCCCUAUCCUUUUCUGGAUGGAAAAAAAAUAGCAGUGAAUUCCCACCUGCCUCCUCCCUGACCCACAGUGGGACGAUGGAAUGGGCCCCAGUUGUCCUGGGGGACCGUCUCAGGUCCCUGACUACAGUGGUGUAAUUAUUAACAGCAACCUCCUUUCCCUCCAGAAAAUCAGUCUAAACACGUUGCACAGCCAUUCCAAAAUGAAGCAGGAUUCUAGAAAGACCCUCACCAUCACUGGGGCUUGUAGGAGCUACACUGUGCAUGUUAUUAGCAAUGCUGAUAUUGGCGGUCCUGCCAUGGCUCAGCAGAAACGAAUUUCACUGGCAUCCAUGAGGACUCACGUUCAACCCCUAGCCUCAGUCAGUGGGUUAAGGAUCCAGCAUUGCCGUGAGCUCUGGUGUAGGUCACAGACACAGCUCAGGUCUGACACCGCUGUGGCUAUGGUAUAGGCCAGCAACUACAGCUCUGAUUCGACCCCUAGCUUGGGAACCUCCAUAUGCUGCAGGGUCAGCCCUAAAAAGCAAAAAAACAAACAAACAAACAAAAAAAACCAAAAAAGGAAAUGCUGAUAUUGAAAGAGAAAGACAAAUACCAUAUGAUGUCUCUUGUACAAGGAAUCUAAAAUAUGGCACAAAUGAACCUAUCUACAGAACAGAAAGAGACUCAUGGACAUAAGAGAACAGACUUGUGGUUGCCAAGGGAGAGGAGGAAGGAAGUGGGAUGGAUAGGGAUUUGGGGGCUAGUGUAUACAGACUGUUACAUUUAGAAUGGAUAAGCAAGGAGGUCCUGCUGUAUAGCACAGGGAACUAUAUCCAAUGACUUCUGAUAGAACAUGAUAGAAUACGAGAAAAGAAUGUGUGUGUGUGUGUGUGUGUGUAUAAUAAAAAAUUAAAAAAAAAGAAAUGCUGGUAAUCCUCCUGCCCAUAUGACCUUUAAAACUUGAGCCAGCUUCAAAGGCGGCUCACAUAUGAUCUUUCCAUUGCUUUCCCUGAACUGAUCCCUGCCCAGCUGUCUUCCCACAAGAACUUCCCACAAACAUGAGGCAGUGGAGGCUCGUGCAUGCCUAACUCCCCUUCAAGGUCAAGGUCAAUGGUUAAACUUGUGGUGUCCCCAGCACCUGACAUAGUGCCUGGUGGUGUACCCAGAGGCUUAUCGUAUGCUGUCAGCACCAAAUGAGCCUGGCGGGGGUGGUCCUUAGUAGCAGGGCAAGGAGUGAAUUAACCAGGGUGACUCACCUCUCAGGAAGGUGUGAAAUUCCUCUUGCACCAGAGUCUCAGAGGCUUGCAAAGGAGCCAUUCCAGAUGUGGAUUUGCUUUUGCUAUCUACCCAUCUGCCUGGGCCAGAUCUGCUGACAAUGGCGGGAUAACUUGGAGUUCCCUAGCAAAGGGGCUCUUCCUCCAGCUUUUACAAUGAUCUUGAAGCCUAGUAAACAGUCUCUGUCCUCAUUAAGGGAGAGGUUGGGCUAAGAGGUACGUCUUCAAAUCAUCUCAAGUCAACCUGAGAGUGUGAUGCAACCAAUAGCUGAGUCUUAGAUGAUAAGAACAGUUAGCUGGAAGUGGAAGGAAGAGAGGGAAGCGGCAAGAGCCUUAUUGAGAUCACUUUUGAGGGCUGAAAUAAAUUAAACAGGGGAAAAAAACCCAGCAACCUUCUAUAUGGCAAUUCCUGGCAGACGCCAAUCAGGGCUAGAUUUCUUUGAAGGACUCUUGCCUCCUUUCCCUAGAAAUCUGGAAUGGUUCAAAAAAAAAAAAAAAAAAUAUGAGUGACCAGACCGAGGCCCAGGUACAAAGGCAGUAAACAAAGGAGUCUUUUUAUAAAGGGUGACUUCACUGAACACAAGAGGGGCCACAAUGUCCAGGCAUUUUCUCCAAAGCUUGGAGAAGAUAAAAAUGGGCAGCUGCUAUUCUAACCCUCAACACGGACAGUUUGGUAUGUUUUGUCUCUUCAGCUGGAUUCUCUAAUACUUGUGUCAGGAACAGUGGUGUGGGAUUCUAUUUUAGAAUUCUGGAAGCACUGCCAAGGGAGAAGCCCAGUGAAGUUAGCUCUAAAAGGACCCUUUUCUCUAAUAAUAAGAAAGAACACACCAAAAGAUCCAGAAGGGAUGUGUAAGUCAUUAAACUAUUAAGAAGUUGCUAUACAUACAGAGUUAAUUUGCUAAUGCAAAAUGGGCUGGUACAAGAUUUCCAAGGCUCAUAAAAUACCGCUGGCUUUUGGCUGCAGCUAGCACCUGGGGUGUGUGCCAACUGCUUCUUUACCCAGCAGCCUGGGUGUGGGGGUACCUGGGAGCCUUCUUCUUGGCUGGCCUCGCAAGACGCCCUGGUGGCACAGAGAACAGGGCCUUGAAGUGUGAGGUACCUUCCUGCCACCCAACUCAGGGCUGGGUACAGACCAUCUGUAGCUUUAAGAGGGAAUUCCAAAGCACAGAUGAGGAGUUCCCUGGUGGCUCAGUGGGUUAAGGAUCCAGCAUUGUCACUGCAGUGGCUCAGGUCACUGCUGUGGCACAGAUUCAGUCUCUGGCCCAGGAACUUCUGAGUGUUACAGGCACAACCAAAAAAAAAAAAAAAAAAAAAAAAAAA
rnacentral:lncRNA from 1 species